GAUGAAGAACGUAGCGAAAUGCGAUAAGUAAUGUGAAUUGCAGAAUUCAGUGAAUCAUCGAAUCUUUGAACGCACAUUGCGCCCGCCAGCAUUCUGGCGGGCAUGCCUGUUCGAGCGUCAUUACAACCCUCAGGCCCCCGGGCCUGGCGUUGGGGAUCGGCGGAAGCCCCCUGCGGGCACAACGCCGUCCCCCAAAUACAGUGGCGGUCCCGCCGCAGCUUCCAUUGCGUAGUAGCUAACACCUCGCAACUGGAGAGCGGCGCGGCCACGCCGUAAAACACCCAACUUCUGAAUGUUGACCUCGAAUCAGGUAGGAAUACCCGCUGAACUUAAGCAUAUCAAUAAGCGGAGGA
rnacentral:misc_RNA from 1 species